UACGGGGGGGGCAAGCGUUGUUCGGAAUUACUGGGCGUAAAGGGCUCGUAGGUGGCCAACUAAGUCGGACGUGAAAUCCCUCAGCUUAACUGGGGAACUGCGUCCGAUACUGGAUGGCUUGAGUUUGGGAGAGGGAUGCGGAAUUCCAGGUGUAGCGGUGAAAUGCGUAGAUAUCGGGAGGAACACCAGUGGCGAAGGCGGUCUGCUGGGCCGUUGCUGACGCUGAGGCGCGACAGCGUGGGGAGCAAACAGG
rnacentral:rRNA from 1 species